UCUCUGCGUGUUACUGUUGCCGAUGACGCAGGAGUACUUUCCGGCCACCAUUUUUAGCCACGCGCCGGACCGUUGGAUUCAGAGGCCUCCGAACUAUCGACCUACGCGGGAAUCUAGAGCUCACUCGCCGAUUAAAUGCCUCAACCACUCGAUUUAAGUUCGGCCACCCCGCGACUUCAAAGUUGCGAUUCGGCCACCUCGGGCAUCCGUUUGCCGAUCCGUCACCACCAUCGUGCUCCUCGUGUUGUGGGCUUCAAAACCCAAUAACUUGUUCCUACAUCUACCAUAGUUGGGUGGUGGGCCCACCACGAGCCACCGCGAUCCACCGUAGACCGACGGUCGAAACUUAGUGUUCGAGGUUCCGAAGUACGUUUUGAGUCUCAGAAAAUCAUCGUUUGACUUAUUGUGGAACCCGAUCAUUUUGGAUUUGAUUGAUUGACUCUUGGUGAUGAAUUUUAAAAUAAGCUAAGGACCUAAGGUGUGGCUUUAACUGUUGAGAAACUUGUGGAGCACGGACUCAGUAGCAAUGCAAUAAUGGUUUAGAGUUUUCAUAUGGCUGCCUUAAAUUUAAAGUAUUCAUACGUGUAAUAAUUUCUUCUAAUAAGUUUAUAUAAAAGUUUUAAAUUUUUCUGUAUUUCUUCGUAUCAUUUUAUUUAAUUCUUUUGGUCAAGUGCCUUACAUACUCGUAAACCCUAGAAUUAUGAGU